GAUGAACGCUGGCGGCGUGCCUAAUACAUGCAAGUCGAGCGAACGGACGAGAAGCUUGCUUCUCUGAUGUUAGCGGCGGACGGGUGAGUAACACGUGGAUAACCUACCUAUAAGACUGGGAUAACUUCGGGAAACCGGAGCUAAUACCGGAUAAUAUUUUGAACCGCAUGGUUCAAAAGUGAAAGACGGUCUUGCUGUCACUUAUAGAUGGACCCGCGCUGCAUUAGCUAGUUGGUAAGGUAACGGCUUACCAAGGCAACGAUGCAUAGCCGACCUGAGAGGGUGAUCGGCCACACUGGAACUGAGACACGGUCCAGACUCCUACGGGAGGCAGCAGUAGGGAAUCUUCCGCAAUGGGCGAAAGCCUGACGGAGCAACGCCGCGUGAGUGAUGAAGGUCUUCGGAUCGUAAAACCCUGUUAUUAGGGAAGAACAUAUGUGUAAGUAACUGUGCACAUCUUGACGGUACCUAAUCAGAAAGCCACGGCUAACUACGUG
rnacentral:rRNA from 1 species